UCCUCCUGUGGGUUCUGAUGCCACCUGGGCCGACGGCGUCUUCUCAGCCCAGGGCGGCCGCGCCUCCGGUGAGUUUCAGCUGAGGGCGCACGGCCAGCUCCGAGCCUGGCUCCGGGUGCAGCACCGGCCUGGGACCUCUGCUGUCCCGCGUAGGGGUGCCCUGCAAAUAUGUGAUGAAUAAGUGAAGAAAUACGUUCUAUCUUCUAACUUGCCGGAUGUUAGAAGGAAACCAAGCUUAUGCUUCUCAUUUAUAGCUACCGUUAAGGAUUGGACAGAAGCUUAGCUUUUUGGGUGAGACGGACAACAGUGUUUUUAGAACCUUUGGCAAGGAAGAGCUGGAAAGAACAUGUAUUUGAAAGUGACUGACAGGUCUUCUGGCCCUAGGGGGCCACCUGAGCAG
rnacentral:lncRNA from 1 species